ACUACACAUGCAGUCGAGCGGCAGCGGCUCCUUCGGGAUGCCGGCGAGCGGCGGACGGGUGAGUAAUGCCUAGGAAUCUGCCUGGUAGUGGGGGAUAACUCGGGGAAACUCGAGCUAAUACCGCAUACGUCCUACGGGAGAAAGCGGGGGAUCUUCGGACCUCGCGCUACCAGAUGAGCCUAGGUCGGAUUAGCUAGUUGGUGAGGUAAAGGCUCACCAAGGCGACGAUCCGUAGCUGGUCUGAGAGGAUGNUNNGCCACACUGGAACUGAGACACGGUCCAGACUCCUACGGGAGGCAGCAGUGGGGAAUAUUGGACAAUGGGCGAAAGCCUGAUCCAGCCAUGCCGCGUGUGUGAAGAAGGUCUUCGGAUUGUAAAGCACUUUAAGUUGGGAGGAAGGGCAGUAAGCUAAUACCUUGCUGUUUUGACGUUACCGACAGAAUAAGCACCGGCUAACUUCGUGCCAGCAGCCGCGGUAAUACGAAGGGUGCAAGCGUUAAUCGGAAUUACUGGGCGUAAAGCGCGCGUAGGUGGUUUGAUAAGUUGGAUGUGAAAGCCCCGGGCUCAACCUGGGAAUUGCAUCCAAAACUGUCUGACUAGAGUAUGGCAGAGGNUGGUGGAAUUUCCUGUGUAGCGGUGAAAUGCGUAGAUAUAUGAAGGAACACCNGUG
rnacentral:rRNA from 1 species